rnacentral:rRNA from 1 species
AUUGAACGCUGGCGGCAGGCCUAACACAUGCAAGUCGAACGCGUGGCGGACGGGUGAGUAAUGUCUGGGAAACUGCGUGAUAGAGGGGUAUAACUACUGGAAACGGUAGAUAAUCCCGCAUACCAUCAGAUGUGCCCAGAUGGGAGUAGAUAGUGGGUGGGGUAACGGCUCACCAAGGCGACGAUCCCUAGCUGGUCUGAGAGGAUGACCAGCCACACUGGAACUGAGACACGGUCCAGACUCCUACGGGAGGCAGCAGUGGGGAAUAUUGCACAAUGGGCGCAAGCCUGAUGCAGCCAUGCCGCGUGUAUGAAGAAGGCCUUCGGGUUGUAAAGUACUUUCAGCGGGGAGGCGUUACCCGCAGAAGAAGCACCGGCUAACUCCGUGCCAGCAGCCGCGGUAAUAC